UACGGGGGGGGGCAAGCGUUGUCCGGAAUUAUUGGGCGUAAAGGGCGCGUAGGCGGCACUCUAAGUCAGAUGUGAAAACCCGGGGCUUAACUCCGGACGUGCAUUUGAAACUGGAGAGCUCGAGUGCAGGAGAGGAAAGCGGAAUUCCUAGUGUAGCGGUGAAAUGCGUAGAUAUUAGGAGGAACACCAGUGGCGAAGGCGGCUUUCUGGACUGUAACUGACGCUGAGGCGCGAAAAGCGUGGGGAGCAAACAGGG
rnacentral:rRNA from 1 species